AACGAACGCUGGCGGCAGGCUUAACACAUGCAAGUCGAGCGCCCCGCAAGGGGAGCGGCAGACGGGUGAGUAACGCGUGGGAAUCUACCCAUCUCUACGGAAUAACGCAUGGAAACGUGUGCUAAUACCGUAUACGUCCUUCGGGAGAAAGAUUUAUCGGAGAUGGAUGAGCCCGCGUUGGAUUAGCUAGUUGGUGGGGUAAAGGCCUACCAAGGCGACGAUCCAUAGCUGGUCUGAGAGGAUGAUCAGCCACACUGGGACUGAGACACGGCCCAGACUCCUACGGGAGGCAGCAGUGGGGAAUAUUGGAAAAUGGGCGCAAGCCUGAUCCAGCCAUGCCGCGUGAGUGAUGAAGGCCCUAGGGUUGUAAAGCUCUUUCACCGGUGGAGAUAAUGACGGUAACCGGAGAAGAAGCCCCGGCUAACUUCGUGCCAGCCGCCGCGGUAAUAC
rnacentral:rRNA from 1 species